CCCCUGGAGUAGAGGACUCAGGUCCCUCUCCCAUUCACCCCUGGGCCUCUCCAGCACAGGCUUAUGGAGCAAGUGGGAGGGGCGAUCUCUGUUCCUGCAUGCAGGGGCCUGUGCUCAGAGAUCUCUGAGAUUUCCUGAAGGCAGGUGACUUGUCUCAUCUGGCUCCUGGAGAAUGAUAAGCAUGCAGUUUCUGGACCAUGAUGUUGCCUUGACGAGGACUCCCAAGUACUUGCUGAUAGCAGACCAUUUCCAAGACUUUCAAGGUUGAAGCUCAAGCAUGCCUGCCAGGAUCUGCUGCACUCACCACCACCCCUCCCCCACACCAGAAAAAGACUCUCAAUCUUUAAGAGAUUCAACAUCUCUUGAGGUUUGAUUAAACAAUAAUCUUGAGCCUACCAUUACCCAAGGGAGUUUCUUAGCUAUAUGAAUUUUAGAAGCUCCGGUGAGGCUGACCACAGCUGACCCCGUCUGAAAUGUCUGCUCCUGCACUGUGCACACUUCCCAAACUGGACAGGGGCUCUCUGUUAUUGCAGCCUCCCUCUGCCUUUGAGCUGACAGUGUAAGGAGGAUCACAGCUCCUCCAGUGUAAGUCCACUUCCCUGUAGUGCUGUCCAACACGUUGACAUCAUGAGGAUGCCUGGCUCGUGACCAGGAUGAGGUCACAACUAGGAUGUAAUCUAAAGCCCCCAGGUGAGAUCCUCAUAGCAUGACCAGACGUUGGCUCUCCCAUCUACCACUGUUCUCACCCUAUCGUACCUUGAAAGACCUCAACAUUAGAGACAAAUGUAUAUUUUAUAUGGGUGAUACAUGAGGGAGAUUAAUGAUAUAUAUAAUGGAGCAAACUCUUCAAAUCCCACACUAAUCUCUCUCUCCUCUCAGCUUCUUCUCUUGUAUUAUUCCCUAUUGUUUUGGGUCGAGCAGUGCCUAAUAAAUUCUAAGUUCCUUAAA